AAACGUUUCAGAACGUAUCCUUGCGUUUAGAGCAAAUGGCGACUUCAAUAUGAAAGCGCUCGCGUAUUGCAUGCAUGCCAGAUCUUUAAUGUUACCACAAGAAAAUAUUGCACUGACUGAGGUAUUUGGGAAGUAGCAUCUGCGAGUGUGAUUGGUGUCAUGAAGAACGUUUACAUUUCCUUGUUCGUGCGUUUUCAAGCAAGAAAAGUUAUGGCUACCGUAUUCAUAUGUCAACCGUUUCCUUUGCCGUUCAUACACAUCUACCACGGCAGCGUUGCCAGACACUAAGCUUUCAUGUGUUUAGUGUAUUAAGCAUUGUAAAGUUUUUGGAAGGUUGGGCAAUUAUAGUAAUAUUAUAGUUUGGUAAAGUUAUGCCUAAGGUAUGCACGUUCCCCCCGCAUCGAUUCCAGCUGUCUUUUUAAAUGUUGCCAUCAACUCUUAAAUUACUUUAGAAUUUCAUGGUUUUUGAGUAGCUCUUUAUUAAAGUGAUGAAAUUUUAGGGUUCCUCAGCUUGCUCGAGUAUGCACCAAUACUAUUAUAGCCACCGUCUCGUCUCAGCCCGAAUGUAAACAAACAUUCUCGUUUUCUUCAAGAAGUUUCAUCAGGAUUCAUCUAUCUUUAACAAGUCUCUUUACGUCUUGUAAUGUGAAAUUGAAUCGGCGCUUGCUCGAUGAUUUGACAGUUUCUCUCAUCACAGAUAUUAGAAGUAGAUUAAGCUGAAAAAAGUAGGACGUGGUGAAAAUAUAACCUAAAUAUGUGUAUUGCGCUCACGCGCACGUCUUUUGCCUUUUCCUUCUGGGGGAGAUUGCUUGAAAUGGCUCGUACGUAUUCCUUUAUUGAUAUUCUGUCAAUUUUCGAACAAUCUGAAGAUGUCGCUUAAAAUUAAAAUGAAGUGUAUUAAGAAAAGGUGUAAAUAUUUAGAAAAACCCUUAUCUGUGUUUGGAUUUUGCGGUCACAUAACCAGGCCCAAAACGUUUUGUGCCUAGCACAGCGUUACGAGUCCCGCCGCCCGACACCGACACCGACAGUGCUCAAGUGUUCUGUUGCCGACGAGAUCGACGACGACGUCAAGUUUACCAAUUCGUCCAGAGUAAUAAUCAAAGACAAAGCAAGGUACAACGACAAGGAACUAGGAAUCCAAAGAAAGAGAGUUUCAAGAAUCAUUUGCUCUGUUCAGAGUAGGUUAUAUAAACCCAUUCUGUAUCAUUCGCCAAACAAUACUCUCCAUUAGCCACUUGAGACAGAGAUACUGUACUAUAUCAGGAUGGUUGCUGAAAUUCCGGAAGCUGAGGUUAAAAGGUCGCUAGUUGCCAUACCGACGACUGGAAGAGACAGGGCUGCCAAGCCUCUUGUUAUGGAUUUGGGAAAUUUAUCCAUUGAAGCGUCGUCGGUCGCUAUCGACCAGACUGUCCCGUCUCCCGAGAGAUUUCCGCUUCUUGAGCAAUUUGGGUUUCAAGGAAGCAAAUCAGCGGGUCCACCAAAAGUGAACUUGAAACUACAGGGACCCCGAGUAGUCUGCUUGAAAGCUAAGGACGUCAAACGCUUGACGCCACCCAUGUCAGUCCAGCUCCAAGCCCAGGCUGUGCAGUCUGCAUUGAACCUUGGAGGAGCCUUGAACCAUCUGGUCGAGGAGCGCAACCGACUGAUCCGUGAGAACAGUGGGCUCAGUAGGAGACUGUUGCAGUUUGAGAGGCUACUCCAGAGGAGGAAGGCCUUAGGCUCAUGCUCUUAAUGAGGAGACUUCAUACGAGGCAUAUUCAGAAUCAAGAUUCUGAAUGUGAAUUCAGCAGAUAAUGAUUUUUUUUUUUUUUUGGAGGAUUUCAUGAUUAUUAUUAGUUUUGCUUUAAACAAAUGCCCUAAAUAUACAGCGAUAUUUAAGACUUAUAAUUGAAAAUUUAGAAUACAUUAGGUUCAAAAUAAAUGUAUUAUGUAUCACUACUAUUCAUAAAGGGAAUAUCUUGUAUUCGGACAGUGAUGACAUUCUAACACCAUGUUUACAACACCCCACCGUAAUAUAUAAUGUUAUAGGCGUUAGUUAAAUUUAUACACACUAGGAGUUUAUUGUUAUCAUUUGAGCACAGGUUCGGGUAAUUCCACUUACCGCCCUCCCCUUCGUCAGUUCCUCUUUCCUUGUUGGUGGGGGAACCUCUGUUUGGGUUCUGACCGACUACAACUUGAGUAUAUAAAUCUAACGAACUGUUAUAACAUUAUAAAUUAUGGGCGGAAUGUUGUAAACAUUGUGUUAGAAUGUCAUCACUGUCCGACUAAAAGCCUUGAAGAUGUUCCCGAAAAAUGAUGCCCUAUCUGGUUUGAAAUGGAUAGUAAAUGCAAAAUAGAUGUAGUGUCUUACAAUUGUUUACGUAAAUUGUAGAGAUAUUUAACUUUAUUGUUUUUUCAGGUUGAUGGAAUUUCCAACUCUGCAUUUAGAGCCAAAAAAUAAAAAAAAUAAAGCAAAUAUACUAGUGUUUCAUCUUAUUUUUAGGUGCAUUCAAGGUUUUAGUAAUCACUGCUGAUAGUAUAACUAUCAUUUAAUUAAAACUUGCCUGUAUGGCAUUUGUAGGGGAGACCGGGGCUAGUUGGCUACAGGGGUAAGUUGGCACACUCAAAAUAACUAAAGUUUACCAAUGGAUGACUCUAAUACAUAUACUGUGUAAUUGCCACGUGGUUCCUCGGUUACUAGCAAAAUUCUGUAGAGAUAGAACGUAGGAGCUCGAAUUUAUGAGACAAAUUUUGAUUUUGAUGGUAGUAAGUAAAUUUCUUUAUCUUUCUGUUAUUUGCUAUAACAUCUAUACAUUCAUGAAAGAUUAUUUUUCAGUUAUAUCAUAGUUUUCCUUAUGGUUUAAAGAUUCUAUACCAUUAAAAUUAAUCAUUCAAGGCAUCUUGGUGUGGAAUGGUAAGUGUUUUUGCACCAAAUGUGGGGAUGGGGCAAGUUGGCUCAAAACAAGUGGGGCAAGUUGGCACGUGUACAGACUUGCCUCACGUUAUUUGAUAACAAUAGUAAGCCUAUUUAUUUAUAUAAUUUACGUUUUGUUUCUGAAUUUUUGGAAGGAUAAUGAGAUUAGUGUCCUAUCAUUUCCUCCAAAUUGCUUUCACAAUUUGCAGCCCCUGGAUGUUAGUGUUAAUAGACCUCUGUUACAACUUGAUGAUGAUCUGAAGUAAUACUAAUGCCUUAUAUUUUGUAUUUUGGAAAUUCAGAGGGUAUUUUUGGUGUUUGAUUUAAAUGCAAUGUACAAAUUUCUUUUAAUUAUCUAUGGGCCAACUUACCCCGUAAUGUGUGCCAACUUACCCCGUAUACGGGGCAAGUUGGCAUGAAAAAGUUAUUUUUUUCUAAAGCUUAUUGUUACCUUAUGUUGAAAGCAAACAACAAUAUUUUGCUAUAUGAUAAAGACGAAUAUUAAUAUUUUUCAUUGGUGGUAGGAAUUUUGCAAAAAUUUUUGUUUUAUAUUCACAAUAACCAAAAUUGUAAAAAGUGUGCCAACUAGCCCCGGUCUUCCCUACUUAUCACGCUUAUUGCAAUAUGUCCUAUACUUUAAUCAAGUUUUCUUUUGAAACAGAUACUCAUACGCGGAUGAAUAAAAUUUUCAAAAAUCCAUACCCGUUCCUUCAGAAUUUCAUGGAAUUCACUUCAUAUGCAUGGUAUAUACUGUUUUAUGUUUUGGUUUUCAAUUUCCAUAUUGGUUAGGUUGGUUACUUGAUAUUCCGAGUCAGUCUCUGUUUCAAGACCAGCAACCUACAUUCACAGGGCGAUGGGAUCCUAAGCAGUCUGUUUCCACACCUGUAACGACCUACCUUCCUUUCUAAAGCUCCAACCCUCACGGAAUGAGACCAUAACAAGCAUCUCGUUAGCUGUUCAAAACCUUCAUGACUUCAAGCAACAGGGUGAACUUAGCCUGGCAACUUUCGCCAUUUUCACCCUGCCUUCCAAGACAGGCUUGGCUUCCAGUGGCAAGGCUACGUUCUGUAACUAAAGUAACAUGCUACAUUUUGGCCGGAGACACCAUACUUCACGAGAGUAUAAAGCAACGUAUCUGCUGGGCAAUUGUGUACAUGUCAUCUCUGAUACCAGUCUGAUGGUUUAAGUGGUACAAGGAGUCACAUCACAUGGUGGAACAGCUGUAUGAAUUAUGUUAGAAGACAGCAUAGUAACUAGAAUUCCUUCCUGCUCACAUUUAGAUCAAAGUGCACAUAUUAAUUAUGUUUACUUUUGGUAUUGUAUUUUGUUUCUUCUUGUAAGCCCUUUAGGAAAAUGCAAACCCCCUCCCCCACCCUAGUUAUGACCACCGCUAUUAACAUAAUGAUUAAUGGUUUUCAUGUUGAACUGAUUUGGAAGUUCGGUAUUACACUGCAAUAAUUACUGAAGUGUGUAUUAUUUCAUUUUACCCCCAUAUGCUUCCCAAUUUGAGAUCUUGAAGCUCUAGACCAACAUAAAUAGCAGUAAGUUAAGAUUGUGCAAAAAUAAACCACAUUUGGCAAAUGCAGACUAAAGAUGUAUCGGAUAUCCGCAUUUUCUAUAAAUCCGCAUCCCCGUUAACAAUUUCUUAACAUCCGCAUUGACAUUUCAAGCAACCUCUGUAUCCGCAGUUAGAGAAUCAGGAUGUAAGGCUAUCACCCCUUGCUUAGUGUUCAAUAGUUCAUACUCAUACAUUGUAGCUAAAAGUAAAUUUUUUUUUUUUCUGUGACAUUUGGCUUUUUCAUUUUAUUAUACAGAAUGUAUACUACACAAUGAAGCAUUUCAUAGAGUAUAGACUUUAUGAGUAUGAGUAGCUCUGUUUUAGUAUACUUGUUUUAGUAAUUUCGUGUCAUUUACAGCCGUUGUAAUCAUAAAGGCUGGGUACUACAUUUUUUUUUUUUUAGGAAACAUUCACUGUAAACCAUUCAUGUACUGCUUUUACUGUUUGUACAUUAUGAAAGUAUACACACACACACACACACAUACAUGAGUAUUGCUCAUGUUUCUACUUUCAGUUAGUACAUCAAAUACUAUGUGGUAACUCACAAUUUCACAUUAUUUGACUGAAAAUCGUCUGCAACAAUUAAAUAUAUCUAAAUUAUUUCGAUUUACAAAGUAACCGCAUCCGCGAGGGUACGGUCAUCAAACAUCCGCAUCCGCAAAUUUGAAAGAUUGAUAUCCGCAACCAAACGUAAUAGAAUUGAUAUCCGCAUCCGCAAAUUCCAUUUUCAGACAUCCAAUACAUUUCUACAAGGCUGAAGAAAUGUACAAGAUAGAUAAAAACAUAAUGAAAUCUGGAACAUACGCAAGACGUUAGAAAACACAAUAAAGCAUUAGUGUGUUGAAAUUUGGUUAGAAAGAUAAAAGUUUGUGGUAUUCAAAUUUGAUAUGUAUUGAAAAUAAAAAAUUCUCAAGACUAA